CCUACGGGAGGCAGCAGUAGGGAAUCUUCCACAAUGGGCGAAAGCCUGAUGGAGCAACGCCGCGUGGGUGAAGAAGGUCUUCGGAUCGUAAAACCCUGUUGUUAGAGAAGAAAGUGCGUGAGAGUAACUGUUCACGUUUCGACGGUAUCUAACCAGAAAGCCACGGCUAACUACGUGCCAGCAGCCGCGGUAAUACGUAGGUGGCAAGCGUUAUCCGGAUUUAUUGGGCGUAAGGGGAACGCAGGCGGUCUUUUAAGUCUGAUGUGAAAGCCUUCGGCUUAACCGGAGUAGUGCAUUGGAAACUGGGAGACUGGAGUGCAGAAGAGGAGAGUGGAACUCCAUGUGUAGCGGUGAAAUGCGUAGAUAUAUGGAAGAACACCAGUGGCGAAAGCGGCUCUCUGGUCUGUAACUGACGCUGAGGUUCGAAAGCGUGGGUAGCAAACAGGAUUAGAUACCCCUGUAGUC
rnacentral:rRNA from 1 species